GGACUCCAGGACGCGUGCUCUCAGGCAGCAAUGACAGCCAGUGCGUCCGGACUGCUCAUUAUAAGACUCACCCCGUUCUUAGCCCAUUAACAUAUGACCCUGUCUCCCAACCAGCUUCGGAGGGGACUGCGGCUGUCACUGAACUCCACACGGUUCCACAGAUGCGGAAUUAAACCACCUGCCCAGCGGCACACGUGGCCCCUUCGGGAAGAAGUCUGACACCGGAAGAUUAAGGACUCAGCCCUGCAAUGGCAGUGAAGGAGGUAUUUCUGUCUUUGUGACUCACUCCCUGGCACAGUCCACCGGGGGGUGUUUCUCCAGGACUCUGCAGUGUGAUCAGCCCUGCCACAGCCUCUUCCAGAUCCUUCCAUCUGCAGUGAUCCUGGGGCUCACCGCCCGCGCUGGCACAAGGGGUCCUCAGCACAGACAGGACACUUAACAAAUCUCUCCUGGCUUGUUCCUGCCACCGCCCUGCUCACAACCACGUCGCACAGCCUGAGUGCAUCAGGACAUGCGUGCCCAGUAGAAUGGCCUGUGCCCUCCUGUCCCCGGGCCAUCAGCAGCACCAACAGGACCUGGGGACAGCUUCGUCUCCUUCUGCUGACAGUGGGUCUGCCUCCUGCCCACACCCUUAGUUAGGUGUCAGGAGAAAUGAAUUCUACCGAUGAAGAAUACUAGAACAUGACUCUUACGUACCCUUCUAAGGAAGGCUUCGUCAUCCAAUAAAGACAUUAACACGA